UACGAAGGGGGCUAGCGUUGCUCGGAAUCACUGGGCGUAAAGCGCACGUAGGCGGACUCUUAAGUCAGGGGUGAAAUCCUGGAGCUCAACUCCAGAACUGCCUUUGAUACUGGGAGUCUUGAGUUCGGGAGAGGUGAGUGGAACUGCGAGUGUAGAGGUGAAAUUCGUAGAUAUUCGCAAGAACACCAGUGGCGAAGGCGGCUCACUGGCCCGGUACUGACGCUGAGGUGCGAAAGCGUGGGGAGCAAACAGGG
rnacentral:rRNA from 1 species